rnacentral:rRNA from 1 species
UCCUACGGGAGGCAGCAGUGGGGAAUCUUGCGCAAUGGGCGAAAGCCUGACGCAGCGACACCGCGUGGGGGACGAAGGCCUUUCAGAUCGUAAACCCCUUUCGGCAGGGACGAAGCGAUCUCGUGACGGUACCUGCAGAAGAAGCCUCGGCUAACUACGUGCCAGCAGCCGCGGUAACACGUAGGAGGCGAGCGUUGUCCGGAAUCAUUGGGCGUAAAGAGCGCGCAGGCGGCUUGGCAAGUCGGGUGUGAAAUCCCGGGGCUCAACCCCGGGACUGCAUUCGAUACUGUCAGGCUAGAGGUAGGUAGGGGAGAUCGGAAUUCCUGGUGUAGCGGUGAAAUGCGCAGAUAUCAGGAGGAACACCGGUGGCGAAGGCGGAUCUCUGGGCCUUACCUGACGCUCAGGCGCGAAAGCUAGGGGAGCGAACAGGAUUAGAUACCCUGGUAGUCCUAGCCGUAAACGUUGGGUGCUAGGUGUGGGCGGAUAUCAACCCCGUCCGUGCCGAAGCUAACGCAUUAAGCACCCCGCCUGGGGAGUACGGCCGCAAGGCUAAAACUCAAAGGAAUUGACGGGGGCCCGCACAAGCGGCGGAGCAUGCGGCUUAAUUCGAUGCAACGCGAAGAACCUUAC